rnacentral:miRNA from 1 species
CGGGUGGAUCACGAUGCAAAUU